rnacentral:rRNA from 1 species
CAGCCGCCACGGGAAUACGGAGGGUGCAAGCGUUAAUCGGAAUUACUGGGCGUAAAGCGCACGCAGGCGGUCUGACAAGUCAGAUGUGAAAUCCCCGGGCUUAACCUGGGAACUGCAUUUGAAACUGUCAGGCUGGAGUCUUGUAGAGGGGGGUGGAAUUCCAGGUGUAGCGGUGAAAUGCGUAGAGAUCUGGAGGAAUACCGGUGGCGAAGGUGGCCCCCUGGACAAAGACUGACGCUCAGGUGCGAAAGCGUGGGGAGCAAACAGGAUUAGAUACCCGUGUAGUCCCUGUCUCUUAUAC